UCCUACGGGAGGCAGCAGUGGGGAAUAUUGCACAAUGGGGGAAACCCUGAUGCAGCGACGCCGCGUGAAGGAUGAAGUAUUUCGGUAUGUAAACUUCUAUCAGCAGGGAAGAAAAUGACGGUACCUGACUAAGAAGCCCCGGCUAACUACGUGCCAGCAGCCGCGGUAAA
rnacentral:rRNA from 1 species